UUCAAAUUUUGUUGGCUCUCCCUUAGUUUGUUGCUCAAGUUGUACCAAAAAGCCGUUGUAUGCUUUAUGCAAAACCUUCUCCAUUUGUUGUGUGCAAAUCGUCGUUACGUCACCCCCACGUUUCCCGUUCAGUAUCACCUGUUUCUCCUUACUGUAAAAUUUCAUAAUUAGUUGCAUAAAAUUUCAAGAAAUAUCACCUAAUGUC
rnacentral:lncRNA from 1 species